rnacentral:rRNA from 1 species
GGACGAACGCUGGCGGCGCGCCUAACACAUGCAAGUCGAACGGGCUUUAAGAAGCUUGCUUUUUAAAGCUAGUGGCGGACGGGUGAGUAACACGUGAGCAACCUGCCUUUCAGAGGGGAAUAACGAUUGGAAACGACCGCUAAUACCGCAUAAUGCUGCGAGAGGACAUCCUCAUGCAGCCAAAGGAGUAAUCCGCUGAAAGAUGGGCUCGCGGCCGAUUAGAUAGUUGGUGAGGUAAUGGCUCACCCAAGUCGACGAUCGGUAGCCGGACUGAGAGGUUGAUCGGCCACAUUGGGACUGAGACACGGCCCAGACUCCUACGGGAGGCAGCAGUGGGGGAUAUUGCACAAUGGAGGAAAAACCUCUGGUGCAGCGACGCCGCGUGAGGGAAGACGGUCUUCGGAUUGUAAACCUCUGUCUUAGGGGAAGAAAAAUGACGGUACCCUAAGAGGAAGCUCCGGCUAACUACGUGCCAGCAGCAGC